rnacentral:rRNA from 1 species
CACGGGAUUGCCCAGUAACGGCGAGCGAGCGGCAAAGUCCAAAUUUGAAAUCUGGCGUCCUACGGGCGUCCGAGUUGUAAUUUGAAGAUGGUAACUUUGGGUUUGGCUCUUGCAUAAGUUCCUUGGAACAGGACGUCAUAGAGGGUGAGAAUCCCGUUCAUGGUAAGAUGCCCAUUCCUUUGCUCAGUGCCUUCGAAGAGUCGAGUUGUUUGGGAAUGCAGCUCUAAGUGGGUGGUAAAUUCCAUCUAAGACUAAAUAUUGGCGAGAGACCGAUAGCGAACAAGUACAGUGAUGGAAAGAUGAAAAGAACUUUGAAAAGAGAGUGAAAAAGUACGUGAAAUUGUUGAAAGGGAAGGGCUUGAAGUCAGACUUUGUAUUCAGUGAUCAACUGUCUUUCGGGACUGUGCACUCGCUGUUUACUGGGCCAACAUCGGUUUUGGCGGCGAGAUAAAUGCAUUGGAACGUGGCUCUAUCUUCGGAUGGAGUGUUAUAGCCUUUGUAAAUAUCGCCUGCUGGGACCGAGGACUGCGCAUCUGCUAGGAUGUUGGCGUAAUGACUUUAAGCCACCCGUCUUGAACCACGGGGACCACAACACAUUUG